rnacentral:lncRNA from 1 species
CUGCACUAUCCUAGUUCCUUAAAGGAGACCCAGGCCCCUCUCCCAUAUAUAGGGAGUCUUUCUUAAGAUCUUGUACAUGUUCUCCCUGUUGGAUUUUCCCAUCUUUUUCUAAGAGGGCACAGAAUUGUUUUUCCUCUUGAUUGAAACCUAGAACUCCCCGACCCUGCUUAGUCUUCCUGGAAGUGUGAGCCUGACCUAGGUCCCCAGGGUUGCCUUACUUGCCUCUGUGCCUUCUCAAAAUUUUCAUAAGCAAUUCCCUUCUCUUCUCCAUAUGCACAGAUUGAGAUAGAAUUCAGGGACAGCUCAGUAUAACUCCAUUCACCAUCCUGACCCAUUCUCUUCCUUUGAGCAGCAUUUCCAUUUCCCAAACCUGCGGUGAUCUCUAAGCUGGAGCGAGGAGAAGAACCAUGGGGCCUGGAUCCACAGGUUGUACCAGAUGAAGAAGGCCUAAAAGAUCCCCAGUUUCCCUGUUCCUCAUCGGUUCAGCAGUCAUUGUUUCCCAUCUUCUUCAGUCCGUGUUCCAUUAAGGAAUUCUUGAAACCUGGGAUCCGUGAACUUAUUUUUUAAUAAAAUAUUUUUGAGAGCUGUAUUUCAAUGUAAUUCGUUUCCUUUGUAAUCCUAUAUUUUUUAUGCAUUUAAAACAUUAUUCUGAGAAAGAGUCUAUGGUCUUUGCCAAAUUGCCAGAGGCAUCCAUAACACAGUAAAGGUUAGGGACCCUUGAUCUGAUUCAUUAUCACUGCUGCCCCAAAUUCCUUUCAUUGCUUUGAGCUGGUGAGGGUGGGGGUAGUGAGGAGAUCCCAGCAUCAUACCUUACAGUGCUGGGUUCCCAAUAGGUGAAUACCCCUUUGUCCCUAGGAUAUGAACAGAGUCAACUGAUUUAAUUCUGAGACACAGUGGCAGGUAGUAGGCUUGUUUAUUAGUUAUAUCUCCACUUCUUAGUUCAGGCUCUCAUACCCAAGUGACCAAAGAUCAAAAACAGCACUGUUUAUACCUUUUUUUAGAUCAUAAAACAUAUAGCUCUUACAAUAUAACCUGGCCAUCCUGCUUUGCCGUGGCAGGGAUGGACAGUAUUUUUUGUUCUUUUUUGUUUUUGCUCAUACUUCUGUGAAGUCCUUUACUCACAGUUUUCUUGACUAUUCGUUUA